GAUGAAGAACGCAGCGAAAUGCGAUAAGUAAUGCGAAUUGCAGAAUUUCCGUGAGUCAUCGAAUCUUUGAACGCACAUUGCGCCCGCCAGUAUUCUGGCGGGCAUGCCUGUUCGAGCGUCAUUUCAACCCUCAAGACCCCUUCGGGGGACUUGGUGUUGGGGACCGGCACAGGGGCCUGCCUGCUUGUCUUGCAGCGCCCUCGCCGCCCCCGAAAUGAAUUGGCGGCCUCGUCGCGGCCUCCCCUGCGUAGUAGCACAAACCUCGCAACGGGAACGUGACGGCGGCCACUGCCGUAAAACAACCCAAUUUUAUUAGAGUUGACCUCGAAUCAGGUAGGAAUACCCGCUGAACUUAAGCAUAUCAAUAAGCGGAGGA
rnacentral:misc_RNA from 1 species